GACGAACGCUGGCGGCGUGCCUAAUACAUGCAAGUAGAACGCUGAAGGAGGAGCUUGCUUCUCCGGAUGAGUUGCGAACGGGUGAGUAACGCGUAGGUAACCUGCCUGGUAGCGGGGGAUAACCAUUGGAAACGAUAGCUAAUACCGCAUAACAGUAGAUGUUGCAUGACAUUUGCUUAAAAGGUGCAAUUGCAUCACUACCAGAUGGACCUGCGUUGUAUUAGCUAGUUGGUGAGGUAACGGCUCACCAAGGCGACGAUACAUAGCCGACCUGAGAGGGUGAUCGGCCACACUGGGACUGAGACACGGCCCAGACUCCUACGGGAGGCAGCAGUAGGGAAUCUUCGGCAAUGGACGGAAGUCUGACCGAGCAACGCCGCGUGAGUGAAGAAGGUUUUCGGAUCGUAAAGCUCUGUUGUAAGAGAAGAACGAGUGUGAGAGUGGAAAGUUCACACUGUGACGGUAUCUUACCAGAAAGGGACGGCUAACUACGUG
rnacentral:rRNA from 1 species